rnacentral:rRNA from 1 species
ACUCCUACGGGAGGCAGCAGUGGGGAAUAUUGCACAAUGGGGGAAACCCGUAGCAUGCAGCCAUGCCGCGUGUAUGAAGAAGGCCUUCGGGUUGUAAAGUACUUUCAGCAGUGAGGAAGGUGGGUAUGUUAAUAGCAUACACAUUUGACGUUAGCUGCAGAAGAAGCACCGGCUAACUCCGUGCCAGCAGCCGCGGUAAUACGGAGGGUGCGAGCGUUAAUCGGAAUUACUGGGCGUAAAGCGCAUGCAGGUGGUUUGUUAAGUCAGAUGUGAAAGCCC